CAGUCGCCGCGGGAAUACGUAGGUGGCAAGCGUUGUCCGGAAUUAUUGGGCGUAAAGGGCUCGCAGGCGGUUUCUUAAGUCUGAUGUGAAAGCCCCCGGCUCAACCGGGGAGGGUCAUUGGAAACUGGGAAACUUGAGUGCAGAAGAGGAGAGUGGAAUUCCACGUGUAGCGGUGAAAUGCGUAGAGAUGUGGAGGAACACCAGUGGCGAAGGCGACUCUCUGGUCUGUAACUGACGCUGAGGAGCGAAAGCGUGGGGAGCGAACAGGAUUAGAGACCCCUGUAUCCCUGUCUCUUAUACC
rnacentral:rRNA from 1 species